AUUGAACGCUGGCGGCAGGCUUAACACAUGCAAGUCGAACGGUAACAGGAGAAAGCUUGCUUUCUUGCUGACGAGUGGCGGACGGGUGAGUAAUGCUUGGGAAUCUGGCUUAUGGAGGGGGAUAACGACGGGAAACUGUCGCUAAUACCGCGUAGAAUCGAGAGAUGAAAGUGCGGGACCGCAAGGCCGCAUGCCAUAGGAUGAGCCCAAGUGGGAUUAGGUAGUUGGUGGGGUAAAGGCCUACCAAGCCGACGAUCUCUAGCUGGUCUGAGAGGAUGACCAGCCACACCGGGACUGAGACACGGCCCGGACUCCUACGGGAGGCAGCAGUGGGGAAUAUUGCGCAAUGGGGGCAACCCUGACGCAGCCAUGCCGCGUGAAUGAAGAAGGCCUUCGGGUUGUAAAGUUCUUUCGGUAUUGAGGAAGGUUGUUGUGUUAAUAGCACGACAAAUUGACGUUAAAUACAGAAGAAGCACCGGCUAACUCCGUGUCAGCAGCCGCGGUAAUACGGAGGGUGCGAGCGUUAAUCNGAAUAACUGGGCGUAAAAGGGCACGCAGGCNGANUUUUUAAGUGAGGUGUGAAAUCCCCGGGCUUAACCUGGGAAUUGCAUUUCANCUGGGGAGUCUANAGUACUUUNNGGAGGGGGUAGAAUUCCACGUGUAGC
rnacentral:rRNA from 1 species